rnacentral:lncRNA from 1 species
UUUGAGUGGUCUAAUUUAGCUUAAAAAAAAAAAAAAAUCAAAAUCUGAUUUCUUACAUUAGCCUGACUGCCUUGACCAGUUUAUUUGCCUCCUUUUCUUUCAUUGUGGCAGUUUGCAUCCGGGAGCCUAGAUGGUCCUAUCAAAUAUUAGAACAGGACUGCGGCCGUAAAAGAUGUAUUAUUUGUGUCUUGGCUGCUAUUAAAUGUGCAAAUGGGAAUGAAAAUGGAUGUAGCUUUCAAAUGGCAACUUUUAAGAUGAGCAAUAAAUUGGUCGCAACACGGAUUAAAGGGUUUAUUAAGGUGGUUUUGGUAUAGGGUUUGGCCUUCUGGGUUGAAAUUGGAAGCUUGAAGAACAGCUUAUUGUUGUUACUGGCUACACCAUAAGGACAGCAUAUUGUAUUAACAUUAUUUGUUCUAUUCUAUACGGAGUACAUUUACUUUAUGUGCUAAAUUAAAUUGCCUGCUGUUUUCUUGUAAACAGUUCAUUGUAAUUCAACAAGUCUGCUUCAUUGUUAUUUUUUAUUUUUGGAUUUUUCGCCUUGCAAACCAACUAAUUGAGUGUUUUGCUGAUUUUAUUUUACUCGUCCUUUUUUUGUAAUUUUUUUUUAAAAAAUCUUUGUUGAGUAUGCUGCUAGGCAUAUGUAUUAUUGUAUCAGCAUUUGUGUAUAAACAACUUAAUUAAGAGGGUAUUCAAUAAGUGUUUAUUGUAUCAGCAUUUGUGUAUAAAUAUUUCUAUGGUCAAGUGGUUAAACGAUUUUAUAAGUGCCUUGAGUUAUCAUCAUGAGGAGCUUAUUAA